rnacentral:rRNA from 1 species
GAUGAACGCUAGCGGGAGGCCUAAUACAUGCAAGUCGAGCGGUAGAGUGACUUCGGUUGCUUGAGAGCGGCGAACGGGUGAGUAACGCGUACACAAUCUACCUUUAAGAGGGGAAUAGCCCUGGGAAACUGGGAUUAAUGCCCCAUGGCAUCACGAGACGGCAUCGUUUGUGAUUAAAGCUGAGGUGCUUAGAGAUGAGUGUGCGUCUGAUUAGCUAGUUGGUGCGGUAACGGCGCACCAAGGCGACGAUCAGUAGGGGGCGUGAGAGCGUGGACCCCCACACGGGUACUGAGACACGGACCCGACUCCUACGGGAGGCAGCAGUAAGGAAUAUUGGUCAAUGGAGGAAACUCUGAACCAGCCAUCCCGCGUGCAGGAAGAAUGCCCUAUGGGUUGUAAACUGCUUUUAUCUGGGAAGAAAAGUCGGCAUUUAUGCUGAUCUGACGGUACCAGAGGAAUAAGCACCGGCUAACUCCGUGCCAGCAG